GACGAACGCUGGCGGCGUGCUUAACACAUGCAAGUCGAACGGAAAGGCCCGGCUUUUGUGGGUUGCUCGAGUGGCGAACGGGGGAGUAACACGUGAGUAACCUGCCCUUGACUUUGGGAUAACUUCAGGAAACUGGGGCUAAUACCGGAUAGGAGCUCCUGCUGCAUGGUGGGGGUUGGAAAGUUUCGGCGGUUGGGGAUGGACUCGCGGCUUAUCAGCUUGUUGGUGGGGUAGUGGCUUACCAAGGCUUUGACGGGUAGCCGGCCUGAGAGGGUGACCGGCCACAUUGGGACUGCGAUACGGCCCAGACUCCUACGGGAGGCAGCAGUGGGGAAUAUUGCACAAUGGGCGGAAGCCUGAUGCAGCAACGCCGCGUGCGGGAUGACGGCCUUCGGGUUGUAAACCGCUUUCGCCUGUGACGAAGCGUGAGUGACGGUAAUGGGUAAAGAAGCACCGGCUAACUACGUG
rnacentral:rRNA from 1 species